rnacentral:lncRNA from 1 species
GCACCAAUACGGAACUUGGUACCAAGAUGGUGUACCUUAUCUAUAUAUAUUAGCUUGAAUAGAAAAAAUACAAAUUAUGCUUGUUUACUUAUUUAUUCAUAAAAGAGGGUGGGUCUGGUACAAAAGUAAAGUUACUUCAUUAUAAUCUAGGCAGUACGGUUUCAAACAUUGAAAAUAUCACUCUACAUGUAGCAAUAAGAUUGCGUAUAUCUAACCCUCCCCAGAGUCUCGUAGUGGCAAGAGCCACAUGCACUAGGAUGCCCUUUGCAUAAUAAGUUAAACCAAAAAUCUCAACUUUAUCGUUAAGCAAUUCUUUCCCGAUCCACUUAAGCUUUCGGGGCUAACUGAUUAGUUAACAUGGUAUUGAAGCUCAUUGUGAGCUCAAAUCCCCUUCACGCUAACUAUUUAUUUAAUUAACCUAGUUAUUAUCUUGACUCAUUCCAGUCUUUUUGUUUGUUAUCUUGGUUCAUUUAAGUCAUUUUGGUCCCUCCACAUGCAUGAUCCAAGCUACCCAUGAGGGGGUUGUUAAGCUUGAUAUACAUUAACCCUUUUCCUAUCAGCUUAAGUAUUGUAGGUCAAUUGGUUAGUCAACAUCUAUCAUUCUUAAUAGAUGCAAUACCCAAAUGUGUAUUCAAGAUUCAAGAAAAUUUUAACCUCUCUAAAAUUGAUAGCAUGGAUAUAUGUGCCGUUGUCAAAAUAUUAUGUAUCCUAUACCCUAAAUUCGAGCUACUUUAUGUAAGAAAGGAUUUUUUUUAUUUAGAUUCAACAAGCACAUCA